ACAUGGCGAUGCACAACAAGGCGGCCCCACCGCAGAUCCCGGACACCCGGCGGGAGCUGGCGGAGCUCGUGAAGCGGAAACAGGAGCUAGCGGAAACAUUGGCAGACUUGGAGAGACAGAUCUAUGCUUUUGAAGGAAGCUACCUGGAAGACACUCAGAUGUAUGGCAAUAUUAUUCGUGGCUGGGAUCGGUAUCUGACCAACCAAAAAAACUCCAAUAGCAAAAAUGAUCCAAGGAACCGGAAAUUUAAGGAAGCUGAACGGCUCUUCAGUAAAUCUUCAGUUACAUCAGCAGCUGCAGUAAGUGCGUUGGCAGGAGUUCAGGACCAGCUCAUUGAAAAGAGGGAACCAGGAAGUGGGACGGAAAGUGAUACUUCUCCAGACUUCCACAAUCAGGAAAAUGAGCCCAGCCAGGAGGACCCUGAGGAUCUGGAUGGAUCUGUGCAGGGAGUGAAACCUCAGAAGGCUGCUUCUUCCACUUCCUCAGGGAGUCAUCACAGCAGCCAUAAAAAACGAAAGAAUAAAAACCGGCACAGGAUUGAUCUGAAGUUAAACAAAAAACCACGAGCUGACUAUUAGAAGACUCAUUCGUGCAGAAGCUUCCAGGCUAUAGAGCCCUGCUUCCCAUCUCCGACCUCACAAAGAUGAACAUCCCUCACCUGAGUGUGUGGCCGUCCACCUCGCUCUCCCAGACCCAGUGCCUGUGACUCUUGAAUAGUUUGUUCUAAAUGUGGUGACGAGUCAUUUCUGUAAAACUUGGAUCAUUUAAUUUGUGUCAUUUUUAGUAACAGAAUUGCAGGAAGACCAAAACCUGGUUAUAUAAUCCCAACAAACUGCUAACCAUGCAUUUCUCCCUUCUUAGAAUGAAUGUCUUCCCCUAAACUGGCUGGCACCAGCUUUGUGUGUGAUACCCAUCAAGAAAUGUUCUCUGGUUUUAUCUCAUGCUGAAAGUAGAACACAAGUCACAUUUCAGACAGAGGCUGUAAAUAUCUGGCAUUUUCUUAUUUGGUUUUGUGUUUUAUUCUUUUUCUAUUGUUGUUUUUACCAUUGUAUUUUCUUCUGGGCCUUUUUUUGUAAUGCCUUUGUACAGCUCAUACCUUCCUGCUGGCAUAUCUGAUAAUCUGUUUCAUGCAGUUGCCAAUAUUCUUAACGGAAAAGAAACUCUGGUUUGUUGUUAAGUAAAAUGGGAAACUUGGCUCUUUGGUUUUUUGCAAGGGAAGGUAAAAGAGUGUUUAUUUAGUAAUUACCUAUCUUAAAUCUUUCUGAGUUGGAAGCAGAUUCCUAUUCAAGGAAUAGGAAAAAUGGAAAAACAUAAGUUUGAAUCAGUCCUUUCUAUUUUUAUUCUUUUGUAUAAAUAAAAUUUCACAGGCUUUGACUUCUCAUGUUUUACUUUUAAGCCUGUAAUUGUUUUUUCACUUAUUUAUUCAUAUCAUGCCUUAUGGAAAUUUCUUUCUUUUCCUAUAGUUUUCUCUCUGCUGGUAUUCGCCUAAUUAAAUAAUUGCUCUAAAAAUCA